UAUUAGAAAAGUUUGCUCGUUUUCAUUCACGUCUUUUCAAUAAAACACAAGCACUCUAAUUAUUUCAAAUUUGCUCGUUUAUUGAUCCUUCUUAUAUCAAUAUUUGCUUUGCAUUACCGAACGUAAUUAUUUUCAUCUUUAAAAAAAUAAUAAUUGAUUUGCCCGGCUUACCACCAAAUACCGGCAACUGCACGGCAGCGAGAUAAGACCGCCUAGCAAGAUGCGCUUCCGCUAUCGCUAGAUACACAAGAAGUUGUUGCUUACAAAUUCGGCGUAGUCAUUGUCGUUUGUAAACAAAUUCUUGCAUGUCUUCCACGGAUGCACUAGGCGGUCUUAUUUUGCCAUGCGCUGCCGUACGGUUGCCGGUACUUGGCGAUAGACUGAGCGAAUUAUUUGGCGGUAAGUCAGGUUAUUAUUUUUUAAUGAACAACUUAUUAAUUUUUGCGAAAAUUAUAAAAUAGUAGGACUUUUCUACUCAAUUUAGUCAUCUCAGUCUCUAGCAUACCCUAUGUGAAAAAUUUUUUGACACCCCGUAUACAUGUAUGAUUAUCGCACUCAUGUAAAAAUAGAAACUCCGAGAUUAAGAUACAUAUGUUGAGUACACGUGUGCGUGCAGAAAGGAACAUGAUAAGAGAAAAGUCUAGCCAAGAAUCCAGCACAGCGAGAUAAACAGGUCAGUUACCAGAAUCUUUACCGCGAGAGAGUUAACGUAAUAAUUUUGUGUUUCCAGAAAGACUGCAUUUCUCGUACAUAAUUUUGUAAACCUUAACUCUAGUGAAGUGUUGAUCGAGUCAUAAGUAAACACUAUGGUCAAACAAAUAUACAAACAAGCAAGCAAGUAGCCAGCAUGUUAACAGCUGACUUAAAAUCGUCAGAAUCGUAACAUACUGUACAAUCAUAUCGUUGACAUUCAUUCAUGACGAUAUUGCAUCGAUGCUAAAUUAUAUAAAAUAUUAAUUGCUCAUUGCUUAAAAUGAGAUGUUUUCGAAACUUAUUUCCACAAUCCUGCUCAGUUAUAGGAAUGGUGCACGUGAAAGCGCUUCCUGGGACACCAAAAUAUGAAGGCUGCAGCGAAAAAAUCGUAGAAAAUGCAACAAAAGAAGCAUUACUAUAUGCUGAUUGUUCUUUGGACGGUAUUCUGAUUGAAAAUAUGCACGAUGUCCCUUAUAUUAAGCAGAAGGAUAUAUCGCCGGAAAUUAUUACUAUGAUGACUAGAAUUUGCACAGAAGUUAGAAGAAUCACACCACAAAAUAUUGCAUGUGGUGUUCAGAUCCUUGCCGGAUGCAAUAAGGAAGCAAUUGCAGUUGCUAAAGCUGCAAGAUUGCAGUUUAUUAGAGCUGAAGGAUUUGUCUUUUCUCAAGUGGCUGAUGAAGGCUUUAUUGAUUCAAAUGCUGGAACGUUAUUAAGAUAUAGAAAGCAAAUCGACGCGGAAAACGUCCUUAUUUUUGUUGAUGUCAAAAAGAAACAUAGCUCGCAUAUGAUCACUUCUGACGUGAGUUUGUUGGAAACUGUAAAAGCUGCAGAAUUUUUUUUAGCUGACGGCAUUAUACUAACCGGUAACGCAACUGGCGAAGAAACAAACGUGAAAGAUCUUUUAGGGGUUAAAACAACCCUUAAAACUCGAGAUAAGCUGAUAAAAAAUACGGGUUUUUUUCUUUUUUGAUGCUCUAUAACAUAUCCAAGGCCAAUAAAAUCGGUGAAGAACAGCCCCGACCGUUCUCUUAUUAGGUUCGAGAAUGCAUCGCAUCCAAAUUACCGUUAUUAAUAGGCUCAGGCGUGACAUUGAACAACGUGGACAAUUACGUGAAUGCGGCAGACGCGUUGAUCGUGGG
rnacentral:misc_RNA from 1 species